AGAUCCGAUCUUCGAACGACUCUCGGCAACGGAUAUCUCGGCUCUCGCAUCGAUGAAGAACGUAGCGAAAUGCGAUACUUGGUGUGAAUUGCAGAAUCCCGUGAACCAUCGAGUUUUUGAACGCAAGUUGCGCCCCAAGCCUUUGGGCCGAGGGCACGCUUG
rnacentral:rRNA from 1 species